AAUAACAAUUUAUAGUACUCCUUCCUUAAUUAAUAACAACAAAAUCAUUUGAAUGCUCAUGUUAUUUAUAUAGAUCAUCUAUGUACAAAUAGAAUUAAACACGUAAGAAAAGUAUCUUUUGAAAGAGAUCAAAAACUCAAGAAAAUGGAAGUCUUGAUUUCAAACUGGUCGAAUGUUGAAUCUGUGCCUAAAACAUACAUUUUUCCACCAGAUAGUAGACCAGGAAAGUUUGAAUUUCCUGUUUGUAAUGAUAUACCACUGAUAGACCUGGACCAUAAUCAUCCAGCUGAUGAGAUAAUUCAACAAGUUAUUAGCGCAUGUCAAAAAUAUGGAUUCUUUCAGGUAUAAUUUUUUAUUUUAUUAAUUUUGUUUUUCAAUCCUCGUGUCCGCUUUGAGGCCUGACUAACCAAAUUUCGCGUCGAAGGGGUAAAGUGUUCCUAAAAAGCAUAGGCAAAGCCAGUAUUCCGUACAAGGGGUAGUAGGGUUAGUUUGGUAGUUUUUUCUUGUACUUAGAUUACUAACUGUACAUGUUUUCAUAUUAUCAUCCGCAUUGGUUUCCUAAUUUCUUGAUGUGCUUGAUGAUUGUUGCUACUGCUUCGUUCCAUCUAUUUUCUAGCCUUAGUUUGCUGUUAUUAUCUUUAUGGCCCUUGAUGUUAGUGUUGCUUAUUUUUACUAUUUUUUUUUCUUUUUUUCUGAGCCGAGGGUCUAUUGAAAAUAGCUUCUCUACCAUCCUAAGGUAGGGGUAAGAUUUGCAUACACACUAUCCUUCUCACAUCCCGCUUGUGGGACUUUACUGGAUUUGUUGUUGUUGCUGGGUUAAAGAUUCUAGUCUUUUUAAGUAAUUUGUGCAUUUUUAGUGUAUUUCUUUAGAUAAAAUACAAGAUUUGGACCAAAGUUACUGAACUCGGCCGAACUUGUAUUUAACAUGCUAGCACCGCCCUACCUAAAAGCGACUCCUUACUCUGGACUCAAACCUGAGACCUCUAGUGAUGGAGGGUUCCGCUACAACUUUGGUAGGUUGUUGUGUGCUUAAUAAUGUUUUAUUUUGCAUAUAAUCAGGUGAUAAACCAUGGAGUAUCUGAAAAUCUAAUGGAUGAAACCAUGAAUAUGUACAAGGAAUUCUUCAAAUUGCCAAGUGAAUACAAGGCACAGUUUUACUCAAAUGACA
rnacentral:lncRNA from 1 species